rnacentral:lncRNA from 1 species
UUUUGUGAUGCUUGUGGGCUGAAAUUGUUGGUAGAAAACUGGUAGAGAUGAUGGGGAGAGUUAACCUAGGGUUAAAUGUGAGAAUGGUAGUGAUGUGAGUGGAAAAGUGUGAGGUUUUGAGGGUUUGAAAAGCUAAAUUUGGGGUUAGUGGUAAUUGGGGGCUAAAGUGAGUUAAUCCUAGUUUAAAAUGUCAUUUAGGACUUGGGGGAAAGCUUGGGCUGAGCAAAUGAGAAAAAUGAGUGACAAAGGUGAAAGCAAGAGCCAUUUCUAGGGUAAAUUGGGUGUUGAGGGGUCAAAUUUUGAAUCGGUGGAGUUUUCGUCGUAAAACCAGUUGGAGCAAGUUUAAAUUAAUGUUAUAGACUUGUUUGAGAUGAGAGUUUACUCCAAAAUUACCCCAUUCUCAUUUUCACUUCUCAAACCUUGAAAAUCC